ensembl:lncRNA
GUGCUGCCCAGAGUACAGGGAAGAUACAAAAUGCUGUUAGCCAUGGUGUAUACUGGAUAAAAGAUCUGAAACCUCAUGGAUGUUUCAUAAGCCUUUGGUUGCAUGAAUGACUCAUUAAAAACAAUUGGCUUUCUUCUACUCUGCUUCUAUCACCUCAAAAAGGAUGCUGUUAGCCCACUUUUCUUUCCAAUGACCCAUAAAACCUUAUCCUGGUGAUACCUUCCUGGCACCACCCAUUCACCAGCAUUAUCUUCCCAUAUUGGCAAACGAAGUCCCCACUUACCUUUUUAUGGUCUGAAGUCGAGCUGCUGCCCUCUCCCCAUGCAUCCAGCCCUACUCCUCUGGAAUGUUUUCAUGCUAACAGCAGUUUUAAGGUUGUGGUGAAGGUUUACUGAGUUUCUGCCGGGAAGGUGCUGAGUGCAACAAGCUUUAGGGCCUUCGAUAGGUGUGGAUGAAAAAUAUCUGCUCUAUCAGUUAACAAAGGAUGUUGCAGCCAUCAAGGCAUCAGGCUUUGCAGCUGCCCCUGAAUGUGUCAAUGGUCUGAAGCUCCAACAGUUUGGCCACGUGAUGUGAACAGUUGAUUCUUUGGAAAAGACCUUGAUGCUGGUGAAGAUUGAAGACAAAAGGAGAAGGGGGCAGCUGAGGAUAAGAUGGUUAAAUAACAUCAUCGACUCAAUGGACAUGAAUUUGAGCAACCUCCGUGAGGUAGUAAAGGACAGAGGAGCCUGACGUGCUGGAGUCCAUGGGGUCACAAAGAGUUGGACAGGACUUAGCGACUAAACAACAACAACAACAGCAACUGAAUGUACACCCUGAGAAAAGCAGGAUAUUGGCCCUAAACGUUUAAGGUCCACGUUAAAGGAAUGAUUCUAAUGAGCUCAGACUCUUGCAUCAUGGGCUUCCCUCAUAGCUCGGUUAAUAAAUCAUCGGCCUGCAAUGCAGGAGACCUGGGUUCAAUUCUUGGGUUGGGAAGAUCCCCUGGAGAAGGAAAUGGCAACCCACUCCAGUAUUCUUGCCUGGAGAAUUCCAUGGAGAGAGGAGCCUGGCAGGCUAUAGUCCAUGGGGUUGCAAGAGUUGGACAUGACUUAGCAACCAAAACCACCAAAUAUAGAAAAGAGCUAAAUUCAUAACUUGAGAUGUCAGUUUUUCUUUAAUUAAUGGUAAUCUUUUUAUGUUCUAACUACCUGGUCUUUGUUGCAAAAACCUCUGUGUAUCCUGGCUUCUCCCUUAUCUCUUCAGUCAGUUCCUCAGAGCUGUCUGAAAGGCUAUCUUCUGGGUUUAAGUCCUCAGCAACUUCACUGAAUAAAUC